UCUCUUAUAGAGACUGGAAUC
rnacentral:piRNA from 1 species